AUCACUAGAUAUACAAUAAAAUGAUAAAUAUUGAAUUAUUGUAUGUCUUCUGUUGUGUAUUAUGUAUAAUAUAUAUGAUAUAUAUUGUAUUAUUGUACAUCUUCUGUAGUGUAUUAUGUAUAAUAUAUAUUGUAUUAUUGUAUAUCUUCUGUAGUGUAUUAUGUAUAAUAUAUAUUGUAUAAUUGUAUAUCUUCUGUAGUGUAUUAUGUAUAAUAUAUAUGAUAUAUAUUGUAUUAUUGUAUAUCUGCUGUAGGGUAUUAUGUAUAAUAUAUAUGACACAUUAACACAGAAUUAGGAGGGUAAUGUUUGUAUUUAGACAGAGUCCAUACAAUGAGAAGGAUGUUAUGAUACAUGUGAAGAUGAUGUCAUGAGGAUAUUAACAUGAUGAUGUCAUGAGGAUGCUAACAUGAUGAUGUCAUGAGGAUGUUAACAUGAUGAUGUCAUGAGGAUGUUAACAUGAUGAUGUCAUGAGGAUAUUAACAUGAUGAUGUCAUGAGGAUGUUAACAUGAUGAUGUCAUGAGGAUAUUAACAUGAUGAUGUCAUGAGGAUGUUAACAUGAUGAUGUCAUGAGGAUGUUAACAUGAUGAUGUCAUGAGGAUAUUAACAUGAUGAUGUCAUGAGGAUGUUAACAUGAUGAUGUCAUGAGGAUUUUAACAUGAUGAUGUCAUGAGGAUGUUAACAUGAUGAUGUCAUGAGGAUGUUAACAUGAUGAUGUCAUGAGGAUGUUAAUAUGAUGAUGUCAUAAGGAUAUUAACAUGAUGAUGUCAUGAGGAUGUUAACAUGAUGAUGUCAUGAGGAUAUUAACAUGAUGAUGUCAUGAGGAUGUUAACAUGAUGAUGUCAUGAGGAUUUUAACAUGAUGAUGUCAUGAGGAUGUUAACAUGAUGAUGUCAUGAGGAUGUUAACAUGAUGAUGUCAUGAGGAUGUUAACAUGAUGAUGUCAUGAGGAUGUUAACAUGAUGAUGUCAUGAGGAUGUUAACAUGAUGAUGUCAUUGGUCAUGUGAUCUUGGUCCGUCGGCUGACGCAGCAGAAGUAGACCCCUGCAUCGCCGGGCUGGGGGCGGAGCAGCAGGAGGUCUCCGGGCUGACGGGGUUCAGGGUGAAGCGGUCCGGACCGAACCCCCGACCGUACACCAGCCGGGGUCGGGGGGUCAUGGUGGGGUUCAGGGUGGGGGUCAGGGUGGAGCUGAGGACCAGCAGCACCCUCUGCUCCUUCCUCUGGUACCAGCUGAGGGUGGAGCUGCGGGUGGAGCUGCGGGUGGAGUUGCGGGAGCCGGCCCACAGCGGACACGGCAAGAGGACCUCUUCUCCACCUUUCACCACCACCACCACCUGCUGCCCCGCCGCCAGACCUGCACCACCCACAGCAGGGGUUAGUUAGUCCAGGUGUUAGCUAGUCCAGGGUUUAGCUAGUCCAGGGGUUAGCUAGUCAAGGGGUUAGCUAGUCCAGGGGUUAGCUAGUACAGGGGUUAGCUAGUACAGGGGUUAGCUAGUCUAGGGGUUAGCUAGUACAGGGGUUAGCUAGUACUGGG
ensembl:lncRNA